rnacentral:rRNA from 1 species
ACGGAGGAUGCAAGCGUUAUCCGGAAUGAUUGGGCGUAAAGGGUCCGCAGGUGGCAGUGUAAGUCUGCUGUCAAAGAAUGAGGCUUAACCUCAUCAAGGCAGUGGAAACUACACAGCUAGAGUACGGUCGGGGUAGAAGGAAUUCCUGGUGUAGCGGUGAAAUGCGUAGAGAUCAGGAAGAACACCAACGGCGAAGGCAGCUCUCUGGGACGUAACUGACGCUGAGACGCGAAAGCGUGGGGAGCAAACAGGA